UACGUAGGGGGCAAGCGUUGUCCGGAAUCAUUGGGCGUAAAGAGCGCGUAGGCGGCCCUGUAAGUCCGCUGUGAAAGUCAAGGGCUCAACCCUUGAAUGCCGGUGGAUACUGCAGGGCUAGAGUCCGGAAGAGGCGAGUGGAAUUCCUGGUGUAGCGGUGAAAUGCGCAGAUAUCAGGAGGAACACCGAUGGCGAAGGCAGCACUCUGGGACGUGACUGACGCUGAGACGCGAAAGCGUGGGGAGCAAACAGG
rnacentral:rRNA from 1 species